AUGCGUCUGAAGGUACCUCCAAAGGAAGCUCCGGCUAACUCCGUGCCAGCAGCCGCGGUAAUACGGAGGGAACAAACGUUGUUCGGAUUUACUGGGUGUAAAGGGUGCGUAGGCGGCUACGUGUGUCAGAGGUGAAAGCUCACGGCUCAACCGUGGAACUGCCUUUGAAACUGCGUAGCUUGAGUCCGAGAGAGGAUGGUGGAAUUCCUGGUGUAACGGUGAAAUGUGCAGAUAUCAGGAAGAACACCGGUGGCGAAGGCGGCCAUCUGGCUCGGUACUGACGCUGAGGCACGAAAGCUAGGGUAUCGAACGGGAUUAGAUACCCCGGUAGUCCUAGCCGUAAACGAUGUCCACUAGGUGUCGGAGGUCCUACCCCUUCGGUGCCGGAGCUAACGCAUUAAGUGGACCACCUGGGGAGUACGCUCGCAAGGGUGAAACUCAAAGGAAUUGACGGGGGCCCGCACAAGCGGUGGAGCAUGUGGUUUAAUUCGAUGCAACGCGAAGAACCUUACCUGGGCUUGACAUGCAGGGGACAGGUGUAGAGAUACACCCUUCUUCGGACUCCUGUACAGGUGCUGCAUGGCUGUCGUCAGCUCGUGUCGUGAAAUGUUGGGUUAAGUCCCGCAACGAGCGCAACCCUUGUCCUUAGUUGCCAGCACGUCAUGGUGGGAACUCUAGGGAGACUGCCGGUGACAAACCGGAGGAAGGUGGGGACGACGUCAAGUCAUCAUGGCCCUUACGUCCAGGGCUACACACGUGCUACAAUGGCACAUACAGAGGGCAGCGAACCCGCGAGGGGAAGCCAAUCCCAAAAAGUGUGCCUCAGUUCGGAUCGCAGUCUGCAACUCGACUGCGUGAAGUCGGAAUCGCUAGUAAU
rnacentral:rRNA from 1 species